UACGUAGGGUGCAAGCGUUGUCCGGAAUUAUGGGGCGUAAAGAGCGUGUAGGCGGCCCCGUUAGUCCGCUGUGAAAGUCCAGGGCUCAACCCUGGAAUGCCGGCGGAUACUGUCGGGCUAGAGUCCGGAAGAGGCGAGUGGAAUUCCUGGUGUAGCGGUGAAAUGCGCAGAUAUCAGGAGGAACACCAAUGGCGAAGGCAGCUCGCUGGGACGGUACUGACGCUGAGACGCGAAAGCGUGGGGAGCAAACAGG
rnacentral:rRNA from 1 species